GAUGAACGCUGGCGGCGUGCCUAAUACAUGCAAGUCGAGCGAAUGGAUUAAGAGCUUGCUCUUAAGAAGUUAGCGGCGGACGGGUGAGUAACACGCGGGUAACCUGCCCAUAAGACUGGGAUAACUCCGGGAAACCGGGGCUAAUACCGGAUAACAUUUUGAACCGCAUGGCCCGAAAUCGAAAGGCGGCCUCGGCUGUCACUUACGGAUGGACCCGCGUCGCAUUAGCUAGUUGGUGAGGUAACGGCUCACCAAGGCAACGAUGCGUAGCCGACCUGAGAGGGUGAUCGGCCUCACUGGGACUGAGACACGGCCCAGACUCCUACGGAAGGCAGCAGUAGGGAAUCUUCCGCAAUGGACGAAAGUCUGACGGAGCAACGCCGCGUGAGUGAUGAAGGCUUUCGGGUCGUAAAACUCUGUUGUUAGGGAAGAACAAGUGCUAGUUGAAUAAGCUGGCACCUUGACGGUACCUAACCAGAAAGCCACGGCUAACUACGUGCCAGCCACCGCAGUAA
rnacentral:rRNA from 1 species